UGCUUCCCAUAUUGUUGAAACACAACAGACAUGGACUUAAUACCCCAAAAAAAAUACUGAAUUAAUAAUGGAUUAUGCUUUUCAUAUUGUUGAAACACAGCAUACAUUAAAUUUGGAUCCCCAAAAUUAGUAACACGACAUUGGUUACUGGAAUGGCAAUGAUCAUGUAAUGGCAAUUAUCAUACUCACUGAGAAAGAAGAUUGAAGAGAACGGCUUCUUGUGUGACUGUGACGGUGAAAUUGCCGACAGCGGACGAGAUGGAUGGAAAUCGAGCGUUAUUUGCUGCUUCGUGUGCUUCAAUGAUACAAUAUAUUGGGCAACAAAGAAUAAAGGGUAAUAUUCUGAAGUUGUUAUGUUUUCUGUUGUAAUUGUAAUAUAGAAAGUUACAUGGGCGGGAAAGAUGGAAUAGUUGUUGGGAUUCUCUUAGAUGUUAGCUAUAAGAGCUGUAAAUGUUGUAUUACGGAUCAUUCUCGAUUCUUAAUAAAAAGUUGACAGAGUUUCCCUUCCAUUUCCUCUGUAUUUUCCCUUCUUCCAUUUUAUUUCACAACAUUUGGUACCACAGCGAUGAUCCACGACCAUGGUUGGGGUUGGGGAGGAGACACGUUCUCAAGAGUGAAGAAAGGAGAUAACAUCCAUGGUAGUGGAAGCAAAGCAUAGGCAUGAGAUGAGGUUGAGGGAGAUGGUGGCAGGACAAGAAGCAAGAUUCCAAAGUAUAGUGGAUGAGCUUAAGUCUUUGAUAGUCAACAAAAUAUAGAAAUUGCAGAACAAAGGGUUUGUUGUCAAGAGUUGAUGCAGAUUGAAAAGAAUGAGGAUCACCAAACUGGGGAAAGAGUGGGUAAUAAGAAUCCAGGAGAACAAUUGCAAGAAGGGAACGUUGGUUAUAACAAUCCAUGGGAAAGUAAUGCUAAACUGGAAUCUCCUCGUUUUGAUGGUAGUAGAUUAGAAUGAUGGCUCUUAUGAUGUGCAUAUUUCUUGUUGGUGGAAAAAAUAGCACAUGAGAACAGAGUGAAAGUUGCAGCUCUGCAUCGAAAGGGCCAAGAUAUUAAAUGGUGCCAUGGGUUUGUUCAGGUGAAGGGUAAUAAAGCAUAUGAGAAUUGGGAUAAAUAUGUCAAUGCAUUGGCGGCUAGCUUCGGAAAUUAUGCCUUCAAUGACCCAAUUGGGAAGCUGCACAACCUGAAGAAGUCAUAUUCCUUGCAAGAUCGUCUCAAUUCUUUUCAUUAUCUUUACUUGAAGGUAUGCCUAUUGGCUCCAGUUGCAAAAAAUUCUGGUGAAUGAAUUAAGUAUACCAAAAAGGAUGAGAAGUUUGCCUCUUGAUACGAGUAAAAGAGCAGAUGUAUUAUUGGAACAUUCACCGUUUGCAGGUGACACUGAAAUGAGCAACAAAUUGAUGGGAACAUAUGAAAAACGGAGGAGUAUGAGAGAUGCCCACUGGGUGUUUGAUAGAAUGCGGAAAAGCCCACUGGGUGUUUGAUAGAAUGCGGAAAAGGAACAUUGGUUCUUGGCAUUUGUUGAUAAGCAAAGAUGCAGCAAAUUGGCAUGGCUAUAAUGGUGUUCAGUCUUAUCAGCUUGAAGAAUUUGGAGUGUGUGCAUCAAAUGUUGAAAAUGUUUGUUC
rnacentral:misc_RNA from 1 species